rnacentral:rRNA from 1 species
UGGGGAAUAUUGGACAAUGGGCGCAAGCCUGAUCCAGCCAUGCCGCGUGAGUGACGAAGGCCUUAGGGUUGUAAAGCUCUUUUGGCGGGGACGAUAAUGACGGUACCCGCAGAAUAAGCUCCGGCUAACUUCGUGCCAGCAGCCGCGGUAAUACGAAGGGAGCUAGCGUUGUUCGGAAUCACUGGGCGUAAAGCGCACGUAGGCGGAUUAUUAAGUCAGGGGUGAAAUCCCGGGGCUCAACCUCGGAACUGCCUCUGAUACUGAUAGUCUCGAGUCCGGAAGAGGUGGGUGGAAUUCCUAGUGUAGAGGUGAAAUUCGUAGAUAUUAGGAAGAACACCGGUGGCGAAGGCGGCCCACUGGUCCGGUACUGACGCUAG